CCAACGUUAAUGCAUCGGAUCCCAUCAAAACUCCACAGUUAAGCGCGCUUAGGGUAGAGUAGUAUUGUGAUGGGUGACCUUAUGGGAAGUCCUAGU
rfam:Picea glauca, whole genome shotgun sequence.